CCAACAUUCAGUUUGUUACACUUCACAAUAGUGAAGCAAGUCACAACUUUGUAGGAAUGUUUUCUGUACAGAACAGAAGUAUGAUCAAAGAAGGUUGAAAUGAACAUUGGAGUGCAUCUACUGGUAUUGUCUUUUCUGUCUUGCAGCUGCUUUUGUGAGCUUGAUUCGUAACCAUUACAUUUUUGUUACUGCCAUCAUUACCUAACUAAUUAACUUGCCAGACUUAAUUCUGAUUCUAUGUGGCCUAUUUAUCCUGAGUAUCCUGUCAGUGACCAGAUAGUUAAGCACAGGCAUAGGCAAACUCGGCCCUCCAGAUGUUUUGGGACUACAAUUCCCAUCAUCCCUGACCACUGGUCCUGUUAAGCUAAGGAUGGUGGGAGUUAUAGCCCCAAAACUUCAGGAGCGCCGAGUUUGCCUAUGCCUGGUUAAGCACAUCACUGCACAAAUAAUAUGCCUCCAACUUUGCUCUUUUUUGUUGGUGGAAGUGGCAGAGGGGCAAAGAGAGGAAGAUUUAAAAAGGCAGAAAAACUGAUAUCUGUUAGGCAUUUGCCUAUCAGCACUUCUCUCCAAAAUUACAAUGGGAAAGUCAUAAGUCUCUUGAAGCAAAAACGCAUCAUAGCUAUGUGCUUUGCUAAGAUUGUUUAGUGGGGUGGAGUUCCCUCAGUCCACUUUGAUUCCAAUCCAUGAUGUAAGUCAGUUCUGAGAGAAGGUAAAGCCAGGAUCACUCAGAUGUCCUUUAGAGAAGCCUUCCUUGGUGACUUCCCAAUGUUGUUUCACCAUAACUCCCACCUUCACUAACCUUUGGCCAUGUUUCCUGGGCCAAUCUGAAGUUGGAGACCAACAUCUGGGGACACCAGGUUGAGGAAGUUUCAUGUAAAAGUAUCUGUGCUAGCCAUCAUCCCAUGUGACCGCAUCUUCCAUGGCCUCAAUGCCAGUUGUUCCUGCCGAUCCCAACAGCUUAACAACAGAAAAGGAAUAGUAGUCACAUGGACACAUAACAGGCCUGUACUGCAGCAGCAAUAAUGACUAUGCAUCCAACUGCUACAUGAAGGCAACUACUCCAGAAAUUGGAAAAUGUCCUGGUCCAGUGGGGUUACUAGACCUUAGUACCAUCUCUGAUGGAUUCUACAAGUGGUGUCCUCACUUUGAGAUUCCAUCCAAUUGUGCCACCUUGUGCCCGAACAAGAUUUGUCUGAGCAAUAUUUUGUGAUUAUCUUGGGAUAUGGGAUCAAUUGACCAGCAGAGGCCAAAUUUGUAACUAGAUUCUUGAAAAAAUAUCUGCUAUCCAAUGGGUGUGCAGAAUGUCAGAAGCUGCUGGAAUCUGUGGAUGGAUUAACGUCCAGAGAACUGAAGCAGUAAGUCCAAUGUUUCUUGAACCAUUACGAGAAUAACAAAAUCAUGGUAUUCUUUCUCUCUCAAUUUGAUUACAAUAGUGCAGAAACCAUAUCUCUGUUAGUUGCUACCUAUGAUUGCACACAUCAGUCCCCUCCCCAACAGAAUAUCCAGAGCAAAACAGGUUAUAAAAAAACAUCCAUGGUACACUAUCUAGCAUUUAUCAUUUGAAACACAAACACAAUUUGAAACUCUGAAGAAUUCUAAAAAAGUCAGUAUCAAAACUACUGUUAUAAUAUGUUAGAUUAUAGAGUCCUACAGCAGUCAGGAUACAAACAGCAAUCUAGAUUGCUAUGAAAUAACACAACUUUUGAAUUCCUUUCCAGUUCUAUAUACUCAGCCACCUUGGAAUUAACCAUUCUGGAAAUACUAUUUACAAAGAAAGAAGUAAAAAAGAAUUAAGAAUCUCAGGAAAAACAAAGCACCUAGUCCAAAUUCCCCUCUAAAUUUCUAAAAGUCUUUGUUGAACAACUGGCUAUCCUCUUCAAAACUAUGUUAAAUGAGUCACUUGAAAUUUCCUAAAGACCAGAUCUGAGGCAGUAAUCGCAGUAAUAUCAAACACAGGUAAAUAUCAAACAAAUCCAAGCUUUUUCUGUCUAAUUUCUCCUUCUUAAUCAAGACUACUCAUGAAAUAGGGCUGCACUGCAUUAAUGAGCUGAGCUUCUGAGUACUUUGUGUUAAUCUUUUUACAUUACCUUUGGGGAUACACAACAGCGAUUACUAUGUGCCAUGAGAAUGCAUUCUUUAUACCAGGCAGCAGGGGGGGUCUCUGACGCUUGGGCCUUAUUAUCCCUGUCACAGUUCCCAAUUUGGCCCACAAGGUCAUUUCCCCUCAACCAUGCCCACUGUCUCCAUGCCUGAAGUCAUAUGUGACAUCAAGUGUGGGCAAGUGGAAAUGAGCCCUUAAUGUGCUCUCAACAAUUCUUUGGCAAGGAGUGGCUAUCAGCACCUGUUAGCUGGCCUACCAGUGCUUUCAACAGACAAACCUGAAGGACAUGGUCUUCCCAGACAGGGAUGGGGAAUGUUUAAGCCUUCGCAUUUUGUUUGACCACAGCUUCCAUCAGCCCCAGCAAACAUGGCCAAUGAUUAGGGGUGAUUUGAGUUGAAAUUCAGCAAGAUCUGGAAGGCCAUGUGCUCUCCCUCCCUGUUCUAGGGAAUAUCCAUGGAGGUGAUAUGUGCUAGACCUUUCUGUAGAAAGAGUGGGUGGAAGUCCACAACAGAUUUUGUUGUGGCCAGACGUUCUCAUUACAGUGGUACCUCUGUUUACGAACUUAAUCCAUUCCAGAAAUCCAUUCUUAAACGGAAACUGUUCUUAAACCGAGGUGCACUUUUCCUAAUGAGGCUUCCUGCUGCUGGUGCCCUUCCACCGUUCAGCUUCUGUUCGUAAACCAAGGUAACGUUCGCACACUGGGACACUACUUCCAGUUUUGCGGAGUUCGUAAACUGAAUAGUCCGUAAACAGGGCUGUUCUUAAACCGAGGUACCACUGUACCUCCAAAUGGAGGCUUAUAUCCCUCUUUUACAAUCCAGUACAAAGCAGCCAGACAAGCGAGAUCACAAAUUCGAACUGGGCUGUUCUCAGCUGAAACAUAGGCAACUAGAAUAUUGUCAGGCAGGUGGUCCUUUUCAAAAUUUCCUACCUCUGUUACAUAAAUAUCAGCACCUUAAUAAUUACAAGUUGUAUUUGAUUUCCACAGGUUGAGAAGGAAAAUGGAAAACAUCAAUAAUGUCAUGAUGGCAAAGGCAAGCACCUUGUCUUCCCACACUACUGAUGCAUGCAAGAAUACUGCCAAAUACAUGCAAGCUUCAUACUUCUACAGAUUAAACGUGCUGGCUGUAUCUGUUCCCAUCUGCAUCGUUGGAUUAAUAGCUAAUGCAAUUGUCUUGUGCCUUUACUGCUUCAAGAUCAACAAGCCAAAGUUAGGCCCAUAUUUUUUGAGUGUGACCUUUGCAAACCUUAUUGUAAUCUUGUCCAACCUUGAAGUGGCUGCUUUUCUUCUCGCAGGAGUGGAAACCUCUUUAGUGAUUCAACGUCUAAUGGAGAUACUUCAUAUAUUUGCAUAUGACACAAAUAUAUAUGUCGUAACAUUUCUCACUGCUGACAGAUUCCUCAUUGUCUAUUUCCCAGUCUGGUGGCAACAUCGCCGGACCAAGCAUUUCACGGUAAUGAUGUGUGUGAUUUUGUGGUUCGUUUCUGGCCUAGAGUCACUGGUGGAAUAUUUUUCCUGCUAUGCAACAGUCAGUACUUGGGCUUAUAACACCUGUAGAACUGCAAGCGUGCUGGCACUCAUCAUGGAGGUCAUUAUUUUUUCCUCCUGCAUUUUCUGUUUCUCUUUUGCCAUUUGGAUCAGAAUGCAAAGAUCACAGCAAAAGCAUCGAGCAAGACUUGACAUAACCAUUGUGGCCAUAGCAAUUCUUAUUCUUUUGCUUACUGUCCCAGUUAGACUUGUUAAUAUUAUUUCACUUUGGGUAAGUGCAAUAGAUUAUUAUAUGUUCACUAGCAUUAGUCUGUUACUGGAUUCUUGCACCUGCAGCACCAUUCCUUUUGUAUUCCUCAUUGUUGGAAGCUGGAAGAGGCAGAAAGGCUUUGAACCCUUCUAUAUGUUUCUUGAGAGGGCUUUAAAGGAUACUGAAGAGACAUCAGAGCCAACAGCAGCGGACCAGGAGCAGGCAUGACAAUAUCCUUGGCCUCAGAAGUAAUUUCUUUUAAAAAAAAAAAGUGUAUGUUUUAUGGAGAAAAAAACGACGUUCCUUCCAAGUUUCAGAAUAAAUUUAUUUC